rnacentral:rRNA from 1 species
UACGAAGGGGGCUAGCGUUGCUCGGAAUCACUGGGCGUAAAGGGUGCGUAGGCGGGUCUUUAAGUCAGGGGGGAAAUCCUGGAGCUCAACUCCAGAACUGCCUUUGAUACUGAGGAUCUUGAGUUCGGGAGAGGUGAGUGGAACUGCGAGUGUAGAGGUGAAAUUCGUAGAUAUUCGCAAGAACGCCAGUGGCGAAGGCGGCUCACUGGCCCGAUACUGACGCUGAGGCACGAAAGCGUGGGGAGCAAACAGG